GAUGAAGAACGUAGCGAAAUGCGAUACUUGGUGUGAAUUGCAGAAUCCCGUGAACCAUCGAGUCUUUGAACGUAAGUUGCGCCCGAAGCCAUUAGGCCGAGGGCACGCCUGCCUGGGCGUCACACGUCGUUGCCCCCCCAUCUACUCCUUCGGGAUUGCGGGGGGCGGAUGAUGGCCUCCCGUGCGCCUCGCCGCGCGGUUGGCAUAAAUGCCAAGUCCUCGGCGACGCACGCCACGACAAUCGGUGGUUGCGAAACCUCGGUUGCCCGUCGUGUGCGGUCGUCGCGCAUCGAGGGCUCGAAAAAAUUGCCGGGUUCCGGCUCGGCUUUCAACGCGACCCCAGGUCAGGCGGGGUUACCCGCUGAAUUUAAGCAUAUCAAUAAGCGGAGGA
rnacentral:misc_RNA from 1 species